GGUCUUUUGAUUUUAUAAAAGAUCUGGCCUGCCCAAUGAUUCAUUGAAUGGCUGCAGUAUUUUGACUGUACAAAGGUAGCAUAAUCAUUUGUCUUUUAAUUGAGGUCUGGAAUGAAUGGUUGAAUGAAAGAUAUACUUUUUUUAUUUUAUAUAGAAAACUUAAUUUUUAAGUGAAAAAGCUUAAAUAUGUUUGUGGGACGAGAAGACCCUAUAGAACUUUAUUUAUUUUUUUAUAAGUCAUAUAUAGUAUAUGACUAUGAUUUAUAUUUUAAAAAUUUAGUUGGGGUGACUAAAAAAAUCUUAUAACUUUUUUUAACUUUAACAUAUUUUUAUGUAUUUUUGAUCCUUUUUUUGGAAGAAAGAUUAAGUUACCUUAGGGAUAACAGCGUUAUUAUCUCGGAGAGUUCAUAUCGAUGAGAUAGUUUGCGACCUCGAUGUUGGAUUAAAAUAAGGUAUAGGGGUAGAAUAUUAUAUCCUAGGUCUGUUCGACCUUUAAAUUUUUACAUGAUCUGAGUUCAAACCCGGAGA
rnacentral:rRNA from 1 species